CACCAGCCCCACCACCCGGUAG
rnacentral:miRNA from 1 species